GAGGGUAUAGCCCAGUGGUAGAGUGCAUGCUCAACAUACAUGAGGUCCAGGGUUCAAUCCCCAGUACCUCCA
rfam:Camelus ferus unplaced genomic scaffold scaffold2490, whole genome shotgun sequence.